AACGCUAGCUACAGGCUUAACACAUGCAAGUCGAGGGGCAUCAGGGUAGCAAUACCGCUGGCGACCGGCGCACGGGUGAGUAACACGUAUCCAACCUACCGUUAACUCGGGGAUAGCCUUUCGAAAGAAAGAUUAAUACCCGAUAGUAUAUUUUCUUCGCAUGUUGAAAAUAUUAAAGAAUUUCGGUUAUCGAUGGGGAUGCGUUCCAUUAGGCAGUUGGCGGGGUAACGGCCCACCAAACCUACGAUGGAUAGGGGUUCUGAGAGGAAGGUCCCCCACAUUGGAACUGAGACACGGUCCAAACUCCUACGGGAGGCAGCAGUGAGGAAUAUUGGUCAAUGGACGAAGGUCUGAACCAGCCAAGUAGCGUGAAGGAUGACUGCCCUAUGGGUUGUAAACUUCUUUUAUAUGGGAAUAAAGUUCUCCACGUGUGGAGUUUUGUAUGUACCAUUAUGAAUAAGCAUCGGCUGACUCCGUGCCAGCAGCCGCGGUAAUACGGAGGAUGCGAGCGUUAUCCGGAUUUAUUGGGUUUAAAGGGAGCGUAGGUGGACUGGUAAGUCAGUUGUGAAAGUUUGCGGCUCAACCGUAAAAUUGCAGUUGAUACUGUCAGUCUUGAGUACAGUAGAGGUGGGCGGAAUUCGUGGUGUAGCGGUGAAAUGCUUAGAUAUCACGAAGAACUCCGAUUG
rnacentral:rRNA from 1 species